ACUCAAAUGAAUUGACGGGGGCCCGCACAAGCGGUGGAGCAUGUGGUUUAAUGCGAUACAACGCGCAAAACCUUACCAGCCCUUGAAUCCUAGAAGUCUUUUAUAGAGAUAUAUUAGACAUAAAAAGUCUAGGACAGGUGUUGCAUGGCUGUCGUCAGCUCGUGUCGUGAGAUGUUUGGUUAGGUCCUGUAACGAGCGCAACCCUUGUUGUUAGUUGUUUAUUUAUUAAAAUUCUAACGAUACUGCCUAUUAUAAAUAGGAGGAAGGUAAGGAUGACGUCAAGUCCUCAUGACCCUUAUGGGCUGGGCCACACACGUGCUACAAUGGUAAUAACAAAAGGAAACAAUGAUGUGAAUCGGAGAAAAUCCUCAAAUAUUACCUCAGUUCGGAUUGUUCUCUGCAACUCGAGAACAUGAAGUUGGAAUCGCUAGUAAUCGCGGAUCAGCACGCCGCGGUGAAUACGUACUCGGGCCUUGUACACACCGCCCGU
rnacentral:rRNA from 1 species